UACGGAGGGUGCAAACGUUGCUCGGAAUCAUUGGGCGUAAAGCGCACGUAGGCGGCCCAGCAAGUCGGGUGUGAAAGCCCUCGGCUUAACCGAGGAAGUGCAUUCGAAACUACUGAGCUUGAAUACUGGAGAGGAUCGCGGAAUUCCCGGUGUAGAGGUGAAAUUCGUAGAUAUCGGGAGGAACACCGGUGGCGAAGGCGGCAUCCUGGACCAACAUUGACGCUGAGGAGCGAAAGCCAGGGGAGCAAACGGG
rnacentral:rRNA from 1 species